rnacentral:rRNA from 1 species
CCUACGGGAGGCAGCAGUGGGGAAUUUUGGACAAUGGGGGCAACCCUGAUCCAGCAAUGCCGCGUGAGUGAAGAAGGCCUUCGGGUUGUAAAGCUCUUUUGUCAGGGAAGAAACAGCAGCUCUAACACAGCUGUGAAUGACGGUACCUGAAGAAUAAGCACCGGCUAACUACGUGCCAGCAGCCGCGGUAAUACGUAGGGUGCAAGCGUUAAUCGGAAUUACUGGGCGUAAAGCGUGCGCAGGCGGUUAUAUAAGACAGGUGUGAAAUCCCCGGGCUUAACCUGGGAAUUGCAUCUGUGACUGUAUAGCUAGAGUGUGUCAGAGGGGGGUAGAAUUCCACGUGUAGCAGUGAAAUGCGCAGAUAUGUGGAGGAAUACCAAUGGCGAAGGCAGCCCCCUGGGAUAACACUGACGCUCAUGCACGAAAGCGUGGGGAGCAAACAGGAUUAGAUACCCUGGUAGUCCACGCCCUAAACGAUGCUGACUAGUUGUUCGGGAUUUUAUCCUGAGUAACGUAGCUAACGCGUGAAGUCAGCCGCCUGGGGAGUACGGUCGCAAGAUUAAAACUCAAAGGAUUGACGG